rnacentral:rRNA from 1 species
GUGGGGAAUUUUGGACAAUGGGCGAAAGCCUGAUCCAGCAAUGCCGCGUGAGUGAAGAAGGCCUUCGGGUUGUAAAGCUCUUUUGUCAGGGAAGAAACGGUGAGGGCUAAUAUCCCUUGCUAAUGACGGUACCUGAAGAAUAAGCACCGGCUAACUACGUGCCAGCAGCCGCGGUAAUACGUAGGGUGCAAGCGUUAAUCGGAAUUACUGGGCGUAAAGCGUGCGCAGGCGGUUUUGUAAGUCUGAUGUGAAAUCCCCGGGCUCAACCUGGGAAUUGCAUUGGAGACUGCAAGGCUAGAAUCUGGCAGAGGGGGGUAGAAUUCCACGUGUAGCAGUGAAAUGCGUAGAUAUGUGGAGGAACACCGAUGGCGAAGGCAGCCCCCUGGGUCAAGAUUGACGCUCAUGCACGAAAGCGUGGGGAGCAAACAGGA